rnacentral:rRNA from 1 species
AAUAUUGGUCAAGGGGCGCAAGCCUGAACCAGCCAGGUCUUGUGAAGGAAGACGGCCCUAUGGAUAGUAAACUUCUUUUGUAGGGGACAAUAGUGUAGUACGUGUACUCUCUUGAAUGCACUUUACGUAUAAGGAUCGUCUAACUCAGUACGAGCAGCCGCGGUAAUAGGGAGGAUCCGAGCGUUAUCCGGUUUUAUUGGGUUUAUAGGGUGCGCAGGCGGGAGAUUAAGUCGGCGGUGAAAGUUUGCAGCUAAACUAUAAAAGUGACUUCGAAACUGGUUUCCUUGAGUGUGGAUGAAGUAGGCGGAAUUUGUGGUGUAGCGGUGAAAUGCAUAGAUAUCACGAGGAACUCCGAUUGCGCAGGCAGCUUACUAAGCCAUAACUGACGCUCAGGCACGAAGGCGUGGGGAUCAAACAGG